rnacentral:rRNA from 1 species
GAGACAGCAGUCGCCGCGGUAAUACGUAGGGUGCAAGCGUUAAUCGGAAUUACUGGGCGUAAAGCGUGCGCAGGCGGUUAUAUAAGACAGAUGUGAAAUCCCCGGGCUCAACCUGGGAACUGCAUUUGUGACUGUAUAGCUAGAGUACGGCAGAGGGGGAUGGAAUUCCGCGUGUAGCAGUGAAAUGCGUAGAUAUGCGGAGGAACACCGAUGGCGAAGGCAAUCCCCUGGGCCUGUACUGACGCUCAUGCACGAAAGCGUGGGGAGCAAACAGGAUUAGAUACCCGUGUAGUCCCUGUCUCUUAUAA